rnacentral:lncRNA from 1 species
UACUAUCUCUAAUUCUGCAUGUUUUUGAAUAAACUCAAACAUGGUGGCUGUGUUUUUAACUUAUAUGUGUGUGGGCGCACGCACAUGCCCACACACAUGCACACGUGCAUGUUUACAUGCUUGUGUGUGUGUGCAUGUAUGUGUGUGCACGAGUGUGCGCAUAUGUAUGUGUGCAUGAGUGUGUGUGAGCAUGCAUGUGUGCAUAUGUCUUUCUUUCUUUUGUUUGUCUUUUAUCCCUAACUUAUCUCUCUUAGCAUCACAUCCUUGUGGUUAGCACAUGUCUGUGCAAAUGAUAGAAUGUCAUUCUUUUUAAGGCUAACAGAUCACUAUGUGUGUGCCAGUGUGCCCGGGCGUGGGUGUGCAUAUAUGCGUGCAUGUGUGUGUUCAUCUUUGGAGACCUGCAGAUUGCUCUUAUAGAUUGGAUCUUGGCUGUAGUGAGGAAAGCUAUGGUGAACCUAGGUGUGUGGGUGACUCUUUGACAUAUGGCUUCCAUUUCUCCUGGAUGGAUGCUCAGUUGUAUAAGUGCUGGGCCACACAGUGGCUGUGUUUUUAAUUUUAUGUGCAUGUGUUUGUAUGUGCAUGUGGAGGCCAGAGGUCAAUGUGUGUGUCUUUCUCAAUUUUGUCCCAUUUUAGGAAACAAAUGCUCUCGCUGAAACUGGAGCUUGCUGAGUAGGCAACACUGCCUCUGGUGAGCUGCUAAGACCUUCCUAUCUCUGUCUCCCAGUGUUGAGGUUACAGAUGUGCUGGGGAGUCUGAACUCAGCCUCUAAUGCUCAGCCCCUCCCCAGCUUCCAUUUUUAGCUUUUGGGGAAGCCCCUGCUGCUGUCUACGAUGGCUGUACCUCCAAUUCCCAUGCAUGGGGUUCACAGCUUUUCUUCCCCCCCCCCCCCCCCGAAGCUUCAUGGACAGGCUGUCUGUGUCUGCCUUUCUGAUAAGAGCCAUUCCAGCUGGAGAGGUGCUUUCUCAUUGUGGCUUUGAUUUGCAUUUCCCUUUUGACAGUGACAGUGGAUGCCUUUAUAUAGAUCGGCUGGGCCAUUCCUGUGUCUUUCUUAAGAAGUGUAUGCUCCGGCCCCAUGUCUGUUUUUAAGCCGGGUUAUUUAUUUUCUUGCUAAUGAGUUCCCUGAGUUCCUUAAAUACUUGGGUAUUACCCCUUUGCCAGACAUAGGACUUGCAAGUGCCCUGACCCAUUACACAGGCUGCUUCUGCAUUCUCUUUCCUUUGCUGUGUGGAAGCCUCUGGGUCCCACACAAUUACAUCUCUCUGAUGUUGAAUUUGUUGCCUGUGCUUUGGGAACCACACUUAAAAGCACUCACUAGACCCAGUAGAGAAGCGCUUUUUUCUGUUUUCUUCUAAUAAUUUUAUAGU